rnacentral:rRNA from 1 species
UACGUAGGUGACAAGCGUUGUCCGGAUUUACUGGGCGUAAAGAGCGCGCAGGCGGUCGUUCAAGUCGAGUGUGAAAGCCCCCGGCUCAACUGGGGAGGGUCAUUCGAUACUGAUCGACUCGAAGGCAGGAGAGGGAAGUGGAAUUCUCGGUGUAGUGGUGAAAUGCGUAGAUAUCGGGAGGAACACCAGUGGCGAAGGCGACUUCCUGGCCUGUUCUUGACGCUGAGGCGCGAAAGCUAGGGGAGCAAACGGG